rnacentral:lncRNA from 1 species
ACACACACACACACUUUGUUAUAGCGCUAGAAUUUGAACCUGGGAGCUCACACUAGACAAGAGCUGCACCCCUGAGCUAUGGCUCUAGACCUCUUUAACUUUUUAUUUUGAGACAGUGCUUCCGUCAGAGGUCUAGGCUGGCCUUGAACUUGUGACCCUCCUUCCUUAGCUUCCCAAAUAGCUGGGAUUACAAGGCUGUGCUAUCAGGCCCAGCUGUCCUCUUGUAUAAGCUGUAUCUGAUAGCCUUUUCUGAAGGUGUGCAUUUUAGGGUCAGCAUUUUUCCUCUUUUAUUUUUUGCCAUUCUGUCUCUUCUACUCUGAUCAUUUUUUAAGAGCAUAGAGGAUAUUCUCCUUCAGGGAAGAACCCUGUCUUUCUGGGGAGGUGCAGAGGCUGUGUUGCUGUAGAAGCCAGCUGACUGCCCACUUUGAGUGGUGUUGCAAGCACUUAGAGACCCCUCCACUCCCUGGGGCACAUGCUUCUCUGGUUUUCAUUCUUUGUACUUGGUCCCUAUUUAGUCUUGCAACUCUCCUUUUUACCUCAUGAGUUUCAUGAAGACGGGGUCUGUUGGAGCUCCAAGUCCAUCCAGUUCACUUAAAGUCAAAUCUAGGCCUUUGAGUGCCUGCUCACCCUGUUGUUUGACAGAAUGACUACCCGUCUUUCCAUCUUCCUGUUCUUGUUAUUCUUAUAUUUUUGUUGUUAUUGACUUGUGUUUAUUUAUUACUAUUUUUAAAUAGGGUUUUACUAUGUAGCCCUGGUCAGCCUGGUCUGAAAUUCACAGGAAUCUGACUGCCUCUGCCUUCCAAGUCCUGGGAUUAAAGGUGUGCAUCACCAUCAUGCCUGGCUAUUUAGCUUUUUAAUAUAUAUUAUUUAAUAAUUAAUAUAAUAUUUAAUAAAAUAUAUUGAAAUAUAAAUAUAUUUAACAUAUGCACGCACAGUAUAUAUGUAUGUAUAUAUACAUAUAUAUGUACACAUGUGUGUGUGUGUGUGUAUGCCAUACUACUGUGUGCACGUCAGAUUUAGUGCUGUGGGUUCUCUCCAUCUGCCCUGUGGAUUUGGGAGAUAGAGCUGAGGUCUUUAGGCUUGGCAGCAAGCAUGUCUACCCACUGAGCCAUCUAACUGCCCCUCAGUUUUUCUAGAAUCUUUGGUUUUAUUUCUAAAACAUUUCCAUCAGUCUGCUCUCUCAUAAUUUACCUUCCUGCACCUCUGUGCUCCUCAUUAGGGGCUCACAGGUAGUGGGAAACGCUGCCAUCUGUAAUCAGUGAAUUUGUAGUCACUAAUGGAGCACUGUGUGUUAAGUUUGUGCGUCUGUGCCCUAAACCAUAUGAUAUGGAAUUCUUGACCUGGUCUUUAUUUUUUAAAUAUUUAUUACUCAUGUAUGUGUGUUUUGCCUGCAUACCACAUGCAUAACUGGAAUUACAAACAGUUGUGAGCUGCUGUGUGAGUGCUGGGACUUGAACCUGGGUCCUCUGGAAAAGCAGCAUAUGUGCUUAGCCACAGAGCCAUCUCUCUAGCCCCUUGACAUGACUUUUAAAUGGCUUGUGAUCCAUUGGUACAGACAGAUGGGCAGCACAGUGAUUCUCAGAUUGCAUCCCAGGAAAUCCUACAAGUUAAUGUUUGUUUUCCUGUGAAAUAAAGUCAUGUUAUAUUGCCCAGGCUGGCCUGGAAUUCUUGCUCUAAAUGAUUACCUUGCCUCGGCCUCCUGAGCAGGUGGACAGUGGGUAUACACCACUGCAUCCAGCAGUGCGGUUUGAACACAGUGUCAAUACCUCACCUUUCCCUCUGUCUUGACCUCGGCACCAAGAGUAAAGCUGCUGUGCCUGACCUUGAGUCAAGGCUGGGGCGUCAAACCAUGUGCACACGAGUACACACACACACACACACACACACACACACACACACACAUACACACAUGUGCACACGCGCGUAAUAUAUUUUCAUCCUCUAAAUGGAAUGCAUAUUUCACACAGGGAUAUUGAAGAACUAUAUAAGAAUUUAAGUAACCCCAGUUUCUUUCUUUACUAAGUCUCUUCAUAUUUAUUUAUUUUAUAUGUGUUUUGCCUACAUGUAUGUAUGUGCACCAUGUGUAUGUAUGGUGACCAAGGAGGUCAGAAAAGGAUGUAAGGUCCUCCAGAGCUGGAGUUACUUGUGAGCCUGCAUGCAGGCGCUGGAACUGAUCCUUGGUCCUCAGCCAGAGCAGCCAGCGCUCUUUCCUGCUGAGCCACUGCUCCAGCUCCGCUACCCCAGUGUCUCCUCAGCUCCUUUAACCACUAAGCUGUGCCAUUUGUAUUCGUUUUCUAACAAACUGCUUGGCUUUAAACAAGAGGAAUGUUUUUUAUAGUUCCAGAGGCAAGAUGCUGACAACCAGGGCAUUGGCAGGGCCAUGGUCCUUUGAAACCUGUAGGAAAAGAUCUCUCUUUGCUUUUUUGGUUCCUAGUAUUGUCCUCAACUAUGACAGCUGAGCUCUAGUCUCUACCUUCAUCUUCAGUCUCCCUCCUCUUGGUACAUUCCUCAGGUAGUAAGAUGUGUUCUGGGAAAUUAAGUACUCCUCUGUCUAAUGGCUGUCAUGCUUUCCUCCUGAUUUCUCUGGGUACAGAGCCUGCCCUGCUUUCCCAUCGUGAAUCAGCAACAGGUCUGGGACCUGAUCCUGGCCACUCUGCUCUGCCAGCUCACUGGAGCCCUUUCUUUCAGUUUCUCUAAGGGUGGAGGAGGGGAGGCCCACUCUUUAGUUUUCUCUGAUGAGGCCUUUGUGGUUUUAAUCCCAGAUUGCUGUGGCUGUGUCUCCUGCCACAUGGGGAAAGCACACAGCCAUCAGUAAGAGGAGGAGGUCAGCAGGCAGGGAGGGCACACAGCCAUCAGUAAGAGGAGGGGGUCAGCAGGCAGGGAGGGCACACAGCCAUCAGUAAGAGGGGAUCAGCAGGCAGGGAGGACACACAGCCAUCAGUAAGAGGGGGUCAGCAGGCAGGGAGGGCACACAGCCAUCAGUAAGAGGAGGGGGUCAGCAGGCAGGGAAGGCACACAGCCAUCAGUAAGAGGGGAUCAGCAGGCAGGGAGGACACACAGCCAUCAGUAAGAGGGGGUCAGCAGGCAGGGAGGGCACACAGCCAUCAGUAAGAGGGGGUCAGCAGGCAGGGAGGACAGGGUCUCUGAAGAGAGCAGAAACAGGAAAGUCCUCCCCAGCAGACCUGGGCCUCUUUUGCUGUUGUUGUUAUUGUUAUUUUUGUUUGGUUGGUUUUUGUUUUUUGGAAUUAGUUUAAGUUGGAUGUCUGCCUGACAAACAAAACAACCCUUCCUAAUCCAGCAAAGUCGUUACUCUUGUCUCUCUCAGUGCCUCGGCUCUAAAAGAAUGGGUGAGUUUAGUGCUAUUUUUAUUUUAAGAAACCAUCACUGACAUAUGUGAGUUUUCGUGUAUGUCCUUGGGAUUAACUACAGAUUUAACCCCUGUCUUUCACCUCAGGUUUGGUUACAUCAGACACUGGAGUUCUUUUAACCCCACAGGGAUCUGGUUUUUUGAUCUGUUUCAUUUGUUUAUCUUAUGCCAGUGUUCUUGGUGAGUUUAGGUUGAAUGUAUCUCAUCAAAUAUGAUUUAUUCUUUCAGGAAACAUAUUCUAAAAGUAAGACAGCUAAGAAGAGGAUUCCAAGGGAUUAUGCAGAAUGGGAUAAGUAUGUUUUAUAUUUCUUUAUUUAAAAGUUGUCUCUGAAAAAUGCUCCACUGUUAAAUGCUUUACUAAUUUAUAAUAUCAUAAGCCUGAUACAUCAAGGGUCUCAAAUUACUUUAGUAAAGUUACCAUUUUACUGAACACUUCCCACCUUCUUUCUUGUUUCUUUUGAGACAGGGUCUCAUGAUGUAAUCCAGGCUAUCCUUGCUCUUCCCCAUGCUCCCAGCUGCUAUAAUUCUAAGCAUACACCACCACAUCUGGUAGUCUAAGCUCUUCCAAUUUCAUUUUUUUUCAUUAAUAAUGCCUUUUCUUUAUUAAAAAAAACAACCAUAAAAUAGGUUAGAUUUAAGUCUGUUGUUUUUGAGACAGGGUUUCUCUGUGUAGCCCUGGCCAUCCUGGAACUCGCUCUAUAGACCAGGCGAUAUUUGUGAGUUCAACGCCAGCCUGGUCUACAGAGCCCGUUCCAGGACAGGGCUUAGAGUUUGUCCCAGGCAUUCCAUCUGCAGACACCCAAUGUGAACCUUAGAGGCAAGGAGAGCAGGACUGAGGUUGUCUCUCACUAGUUUUGUACUAGUCUUCUGUUGUUGUUUCAGAUUUGAUGUGGAAAAAGAAUGUUCAAAGAUUGAUGAGGAUUACAAAGAAAAGACUGUCAUAAACAACAAGGCUCAUCUGUCUAAAAUUGAGACAAAAAUAGAAACAGCAGGUAAGAAGAGAAGAAGGGGGCUGGUCGUUUUCCAACCUUUUAGUUAUGGGAAACGUGUCCGCCAAGGAGAUUUCCAUGAACAUUUAUAGGCUUUUGGACUGAGUUGACUACUCCUAACAAGUUUAUUUCUAGCUUUUAUUGCUCAAUUUUGUUUGAGACAGAAUUUCAUGUAGCCCAGGUUGGCCUUGAACUCACCAUAGCUUGACCUUGGACUUCUGGUAUUCUGCCUACAUUAGCUAAGUGCUGGGGUUAGAGAUGUAUACUACUGUACCUGGCUUUAAUAAUGAAGUUUGUAAGACUUCAAAAUAUAAACCUAUUUUUUCUUAGAAUAUUUUUUUGUUUUCCAUUUCUUUUUCCAACCCUCUUUAAAAAAAAAUCUCAUUUUUUUUGCAUCAGACAAAAGAAAUGAGACGCUUUUUCAUCUGAAGUCCAGCCUUUAAAGUAAUAGCAAAACCAGCCAUAAGAAAACCAAUCCU